GUGAGUCAUCGAAUCUUUGAACGCACCUUGCGCUCCUUGGUAUUCCGAGGAGCAUGCCUGUUUGAGUGUCAUGAAACUCUCAAACCCAAGUUUUGGAUUUCGAUCCAUGCUUGAGUUUGGAUUUGGAUGUUUGCCGGUGAUAAGCCGACUCGUCUUAAAAGUAAUAGCUGGAUCUGUCUCGCGACAUGGUUUGACUUGGCGUAAUAAGUAUUUCGCUAAGGACAUCUUCGGAUGGCCGCGUUGCAGGACUAAAGACCGCUUUCUAAUCCAUUGAUCUUACGAUUAAUAUUCUUGACAUCUGGCCUCAAAUCAGGUAGGACUACCCGCUGAACUUAA
rnacentral:rRNA from 1 species